rnacentral:rRNA from 1 species
UUAAGCGACUAAGCGUACACGGUGGAUGCCCUGGCAGUCAGAGGCGAUGAAGGACGUGCUAAUCUGCGAUAAGCGUCGGUAAGGUGAUAUGAACCGUUAUAACCGGCGAUUUCCGAAUGGGGAAACCCAGUGUGUUUCGACACACUAUCAUUAACUGAAUCCAUAGGUUAAUGAGGCGAACCGGGGGAACUGAAACAUCUAAGUACCCCGAGGAAAAGAAAUCAACCGAGAUUCCCCCAGUAGCGGCGAGCGAACGGGGAGGAGCCCAGAGUCUGAAUCAGUGUGUGUGUUAGUGGAAGCGUCUGGAAAGGCGCGCGAUACAGGGUGACAGCCCCGUACACAAAAAUGCACAUAUUGUGAGCUCGAUGAGUAGGGCGGGACACGUGGUAUCCUGUCUGAAUAUGGGGGGACCAUCCUCCAAGGCUAAAUACUCCUGACUGACCGAUAGUGAACCAGUACCGUGAGGGAAAGGCGAAAAGAACCCCGGCGAGGGGAGUGAAAAAGAACCUGAAACCGUGUACGUACAAGCAGUGGGAGCACGCUUAGGCGUGUGACUGCGUACCUUUUGUAUAAUGGGUCAGCGACUUAUAUUCUGUAGCAAGGUUAACCGAAUAGGGGAGCCGAAGGGAAACCGAGUCUUAACUGGGCGUUAAGUUGCAGGGUAUAGACCCGAAACCCGGUGAUCUAGCCAUGGGCAGGUUGAAGGUUGGGUAACACUAACUGGAGGACCGAACCGACUAAUGUUGAAAAAUUAGCGGAUGACUUGUGGCUGGGGGUGAAAGGCCAAUCAAACCGGGAGAUAGCUGGUUCUCCCCGAAAGCUAUUUAGGUAGCGCCUCGUGAAUUCAUCUCCGGGGGUAGAGCACUGUUUCGGCAAGGGGGUCAUCCCGACUUACCAACCCGAUGCAAACUGCGAAUACCGGAGAAUGUUAUCACGGGAGACACACGGCGGGUGCUAACGUCCGUCGUGAAGAGGGAAACAACCCAGACCGCCAGCUAAGGUCCCAAAGUCAUGGUUAAGUGGGAAACGAUGUGGGAAGGCCCAGACAGCCAGGAUGUUGGCUUAGAAGCAGCCAUCAUUUAAAGAAAGCGUAAUAGCUCACUGGUCGAGUCGGCCUGCGCGGAAGAUGUAACGGGGCUAAACCAUGCACCGAAGCUGCGGCAGCGACGCUUAUGCGUUGUUGGGUAGGGGAGCGUUCUGUAAGCCUGUGAAGGUGUGCUGUGAGGCAUGCUGGAGGUAUCAGAAGUGCGAAUGCUGACAUAAGUAACGAUAAAGCGGGUGAAAAGCCCGCUCGCCGGAAGACCAAGGGUUCCUGUCCAACGUUAAUCGGGGCAGGGUGAGUCGACCCCUAAGGCGAGGCCGAAAGGCGUAGUCGAUGGGAAACAGGUUAAUAUUCCUGUACUUGGUGUUACUGCGAAGGGGGGACGGAGAAGGCUAUGUUGGCCGGGCGACGGUUGUCCCGGUUUAAGCGUGUAGGCUGGUUUUCCAGGCAAAUCCGGAAAAUCAAGGCUGAGGCGUGAUGACGAGGCACUACGGUGCUGAAGCAACAAAUGCCCUGCUUCCAGGAAAAGCCUCUAAGCAUCAGGUAACAUCAAAUCGUACCCCAAACCGACACAGGUGGUCAGGUAGAGAAUACCAAGGCGCUUGAGAGAACUCGGGUGAAGGAACUAGGCAAAAUGGUGCCGUAACUUCGGGAGAAGGCACGCUGAUAUGUAGGUGAAGUCCCUUGCGGAUGGAGCUGAAAUCAGUCGAAGAUACCAGCUGGCUGCAACUGUUUAUUAAAAACACAGCACUGUGCAAACACGAAAGUGGACGUAUACGGUGUGACGCCUGCCCGGUGCCGGAAGGUUAAUUGAUGGGGUCAGCGCAAGCGAAGCUCUUGAUCGAAGCCCCGGUAAACGGCGGCCGUAACUAUAACGGUCCUAAGGUAGCGAAAUUCCUUGUCGGGUAAGUUCCGACCUGCACGAAUGGCGUAAUGAUGGCCAGGCUGUCUCCACCCGAGACUCAGUGAAAUUGAACUCGCUGUGAAGAUGCAGUGUACCCGCGGCAAGACGGAAAGACCCCGUGAACCUUUACUAUAGCUUGACACUGAACAUUGAGCCUUGAUGUGUAGGAUAGGUGGGAGGCUUUGAAGUGUGGACGCCAGUCUGCAUGGAGCCGACCUUGAAAUACCACCCUUUAAUGUUUGAUGUUCUAACGUUGACCCGUAAUCCGGGUUGCGGACAGUGUCUGGUGGGUAGUUUGACUGGGGCGGUCUCCUCCUAAAGAGUAACGGAGGAGCACGAAGGUUGGCUAAUCCUGGUCGGACAUCAGGAGGUUAGUGCAAUGGCAUAAGCCAGCUUGACUGCGAGCGUGACGGCGCGAGCAGGUGCGAAAGCAGGUCAUAGUGAUCCGGUGGUUCUGAAUGGAAGGGCCAUCGCUCAACGGAUAAAAGGUACUCCGGGGAUAACAGGCUGAUACCGCCCAAGAGUUCAUAUCGACGGCGGUGUUUGGCACCUCGAUGUCGGCUCAUCACAUCCUGGGGCUGAAGUAGGUCCCAAGGGUAUGGCUGUUCGCCAUUUAAAGUGGUACGCGAGCUGGGUUUAGAACGUCGUGAGACAGUUCGGUCCCUAUCUGCCGUGGGCGCUGGAGAACUGAGGGGGGCUGCUCCUAGUACGAGAGGACCGGAGUGGACGCAUCACUGGUGUUCGGGUUGUCAUGCCAAUGGCACUGCCCGGUAGCUAAAUGCGGAAGAGAUAAGUGCUGAAAGCAUCUAAGCACGAAACUUGCCCCGAGAUGAGUUCUCCCUGACCCUUUAAGGGUCCUGAAGGAACGUUGAAGACGACGACGUUGAUAGGCCGGGUGUGUAAGCGCAGCGAUGCGUUGAGCUAACCGGUACUAAUGAACCGUGAGGCUUAACCUU